UACGUAGGGGGCUAGCGUUGUCCGGAAUCAUUGGGCGUAAAGAGCGUGUAGGCGGCCCGGUAAGUCCGCUGUGAAAGUCGGGGGCUCAACCCUCGAAUGCCGGUGGAUACUGUCGGGCUAGAGUGCGGAAGAGGCGAGUGGAAUUCCGUGGUGUAGCGGUGAAAUGCGCAGAUAUCAGGAGGAACACCAAUUGCGAAGGCAGCUCGCUGGGACGUAACUGACGCUGAGACGCGAAAGCGUGGGGGGAGCAAACAGG
rnacentral:rRNA from 1 species